rnacentral:rRNA from 1 species
UACGAAGGGGGCUAGCGUUGUUCGGAUUUACUGGGCGUAAAGCGCACGUAGGCGGAUCGUUAAGUGAGGGGUGAAAUCCCAGGGCUCAACCCUGGAACUGCCUUUCAUACUGGCGAUCUCGAGUCCGGAAGAGGUGAGUGGAACUCCUAGUGUAGAGGUGGAAUUCGUAGAUAUUAGGAAGAACACCAGUGGCGAAGGCGGCUCACUGGUCCGGUACUGACGCUGAGGUGCGAAAGCGUGGGGAGCAAACAG